AGACCCGAAACCCGGUGAUCUAGCCAUGGGCAGGUUGAAGGUUGGGUAACACUAACUGGAGGACCGAACCGACUAAUGUUGAAAAAUUAGCGGAUGACCUGUGGCUGGGGGUGAAAGGCCAAUCAAACCGGGAGAUAGCUGGUUCUCCCCGAAAGCUAUUUAGGUAGCGCCUCGUGAAUUCAUCUCCGGGGGUAGAGCACUGUUUCGGCUAGGGGGCCAUCCCGGCUUACCAACCCGAUGCAAACUGCGAAUACCGGAGAAUGUUAUCACGGGAGACACACGGCGGGUGCUAACGUCCGUCGUGAAGAGGGAAACAACCCAGACCGCCAGCUAAGGUCCCAAAGUCAUGGUUAAGUGGGAAACGAUGUGGGAAGGCCCAGACAGCCAGGAUGUUGGCUUAGAAGCAGCCAUCAUUUAAAGAAAGCGUAAUAGCUCACUGGUCGAGUCGGCCUGCGCGGAAGAUGUAACGGGGCUAAACCAUGCACCGAAGCUGCGGCAGCGACACUCAGGUGUUGUUGGGUAGGGGAGCGUUCUGUAAGCCUGCGAAGGUGGCCUGUGAGGGUUGCUGGAGGUAUCAGAAGUGCGAAUGCUGACAUAAGUAACGAUAAAGCGGGUGAAAAGCCCGCUCGCCGGAAGACUAAGGGUUCCUGUCCAACGUUAAUCGGGGCAGGGUGAGUCGACCCCUAAGGCGAGGCCGAAAGGCGUAGUCGAUGGGAAACGGGUUAAUAUUCCCGUACUUGGUGUUACUGCGAAGGGGGGACGGAGAAGGCUAUGUUGGCCGGGCGACGGUUGUCCCGGUUUAAGCGUGUAGGUGUGUGUUCCAGGUAAAUCCGGUUCACUUUAACACUGAGGCGUGACGACGAGGCACUACGGUGCUGAAGCAACAAAUGCCCUGCUUCCAGGAAAAGCCUCUAAGCAUCAGGUAACAUCAAAUCGUACCCCAAACCGACACAGGUGGUCAGGUAGAGAAUACCAAGGCGCUUGAGAGAACUCGGGUGAAGGAACUAGGCAAAAUGGU
rnacentral:rRNA from 1 species